GAUGAACGCUGGCGGCGUGCUUAACACAUGCAAGUCGAACGAUGAAGCCCAGCUUGCUGGGUGGAUUAGUGGCGAACGGGUGAGUAACACGUGUGUAACCUGCCCUUAACUCUGGGAUAAGCCUGGGAAACUGGGUCUAAUACCGGAUAGGAGCGUCCACCGCAUGGUGGGUGUUGGAAAGAUUUAUCGGUUUUGGAUGGACUCGCGGCCUAUCAGCUUGUUGGUGAGGUAAUGGCUCACCAAGGCGACGACGGGUAGCCGGCCUGAGAGGGUGACCGGCCAUACUGGGACUGAGACACGGCCCAGACUCCUACGGGAGGCAGCAGUGGGGAAUAUUGCACAAUGGGCGCAAGCCUGAUGCAGCGACGCCGCGUGAGGGAUGACGGCCUUCGGGUUGUAAACCUCUUUCAGUAGGGAAGAAGCGAAAGUGACGGUACCUGCAGAAGAAGCACCGGCUAACUACGUG
rnacentral:rRNA from 1 species